rnacentral:rRNA from 2 species
UUUGACGUUAGCGGCGGACGGGUGAGUAACACGUGGGUAACCUGCCUGUAAGACUGGGAUAACUCCGGGAAACCGGGGCUAAUGCCGGAUAACAUUUUCUCUUGCAUGGUACAAAAUUGAAAGAUGGUUUUGGUUAUCCUUUACAAAGGGCCCCCCCCGGAAUUACCUAUUGGGUGAGGUAAGGGUUCACCAGGGCACCAAUGCUUACCCAACCGGAAAGGGGGACCGGCCCCCUGGGGAUGGAAACCCGGCCCAAACCCCUACGGAAGGCACCAUAAGGAAACCUUCCCCAUGGGACAAAGCUCGGACGAACCACCCCCGCGGGAGUGAUGAAGGCUUUCGCUCCGUAAAACUCUGUUGUAAGGAAAAAACAACUAGUAGAUUAACUGCUUGUACUUUGACGGUACCUAUCCAGAAGGCCACGGCUAACUACUGGCCACCACCCGCGGUAUUACGUAGGUGGCAGCGUUAUCCGGAUUUAUUGGCGUAAGCGCGCGCAGGCGGUUUCUUAGUCUGAUGUGAAAGCCCACGGCUCAACCGUGAGGGUCAUUGGAAACUGGGAGACUUGAGUGC